rnacentral:misc_RNA from 1 species
UCUGGUCUGUAGUAUGUCUCCUUAUGACGAAGAACAUUCUUUGGAGAAGCUGCCCUGGGGGAACGAACCCUUGGAGAUGCAGCUCUAGGGGAAGAAACUCUAGGAGAAGCAGCUCUUGGGGAGGUAACUCUUUGAGAAGGAACCCUUGGAGAAGGAACUCUUGCUGGCACAAAAGGAGGUGUUUUUGGUUGCUCAGGAGGAGUGGGAGGCCUGAAAAUUAACUUAUGCUCCCUUUCAGCCUCAUCCAAAAUUUUCUCAAUGCUACUUGGUUCUCUAAACAGGGGAAUGAAUGAAUUUGUAUCAGCACGCUUUAGUUUUCCUAGCCCCCUCUUCUUCUUCUUUUCUUUUGUGCUUUUCCUAU